AGGGCACCACCAGGAGUGGAGCCUGCGGCUUAAUUUGACUCAACACGGGAAAACUCACCCGGCCCGGACACCGUAAGGAUUGACAGAUUGAGAGCUCUUUCUUGAUUCGGUGGUUGGUGGUGCAUGGCCGUUCUUAGUUGGUGGAGCGAUUUGUCUGGUUUAUUCCGAUAACGAACGAGACUCUGGCCUACUAAAUAGUGACAGGAUUAUUACUGUCUUGGAUACUUCUUAGAGGGACAAGUGGUUUUCAGCCACACGAAAUUGAGCAAUAACAGGUCUGUGGUGCCCUUAGAUGUCCGGGGCUGCACGCGCGCUACACUGAAGGAAUCAGCGUGCUAAAACCGUUGUCGAAAGGCAUUGGUAAACCCAUUAAAAUCCUACGUGAUUGGGAUCGGGAAUUGCAAUUAUUUCCCUUGAACGAGGAAUUCCCAGUAAGUGUGGGUCAUAAGCUCGCGUUGAUUACGUCCCUGCCCUUUGUACACACCGCCCGUCGCUGCCCGGGACUGAGCCGUUUCGAGA
rnacentral:rRNA from 1 species